AUGCUUACCUGGCAGGGGAGAUACCAUGAUUAUGAAGGUGGUUUUCCCAGGGCGAGGCUCACCCAUUGCACUCCAGAUGUGCUGACCCCUGCAAUUUCCCCAAAUGUGGGAAACUCGACUGCAUAAUUUGUGGUAGUGGGGGACUGUGUUCAUGCUGAU
rnacentral:snRNA from 1 species